CAGAAUUAGAGGGAAAUGUGGGAGGUAAUGUGGGAGGUCCCUGAAGGCACCUGUGGGCUGCCUCCUCCCAUUCCUGCACCCGGGCUGCCUGCGAGCCCCUUUAAAUUGCGGCUUGGCAGAGCCCUGGGCACAGCCUUCAUCAGCAUGGCACCGAGCAUCCUCCUGCUGGGGCUCCUCACCCUGUGGGCACAGCUGCAGGCAGCACCCAUUGCAGAGUUCCACGGAGUGGCUCCAGCUGGGUGGCCACCACCAGGGCAGCUGGGAAGCACCCUGAGCCUUGAGCCUGGCAGAGAGCUCAGCACGGUGCCUGGCAAUGGCAAAAACAGCUCCAAUAGAGGUGAAACUGGUGACUCCAGUAGCCAUGAAACUGGUGAGUCCAGUAGCAGUGAAACUGGUGAUGAUGGCAAUGAUGAUGGUGAUGAAGGUGUUAAAAAUGAUCUUUCUGAUGGCAAGGACAAUGACAGUGAUGAUGACAGUGAUGAUGGCCAUGGUGCUGGUGAUGAUGGCAAUGAUGAUGGUGAUGAUCUCAUCAAUGAUGAAAAUUCCAAUAGCAAUGAAGAUGAUGAUGAUGAUGGCAACAGUGAUGAAAAUUCCAGUAGCAAUGAAGAUGAUGAUGAUGAUGACAUCUACAGUGACAGUUCCAAUAGCAGUGAAGAUGGUGACUCCAAUUACAAUGAAUAUGAUCACUCCAAUAGCAAUGAAAAUGAUUCUGAUUAUGGGGGGUGGAGAUAUUAGAAUGUAAGGAUGUAAUUGCCCUGGGAUCAGAGAUUUUUGGGUUCCUCUUUUGUAGUAUCCAGCUCAGGUUACCAGAUUUCAUGCCUGAUCUGUGCCAAUAAAUGUAUCUAGCGAAUAUGAGAGCUUAGUGUC
rnacentral:lncRNA from 1 species